CAAGUUAAUGAAAUUAUUACAUUUAAAACGGAGCUCUCUUCAGUGAAGAGAUUGGCAUGGUCCCUGCGUAAGGAUGACAGACAACUUUGUGAAGCGUUCCAUUUUUCU